AUUGAACGCUGGCGGCAGGCUUAACACAUGCAAGUCGAGCGAGCGGCGGACGGGUGAGUAAUGUCUGGGAAACUGCCUGAUGGAGGGGGAUAACUACUGGAAACGGUAGCUAAUACCGCAUACCAUCUGAUGUGCCCAGAUGGGAUUAGCUAGUGGGUGGGGUAAUGGCUCACCUGGGCGACGAUCCCUAGCUGGUCUGAGAGGAUGACCGGCCACACUGGAACUGAGACACGGUCCAGCUCCUUAGGGGGGGCAGAAGUGGGAAAUAUUGCAAAAGGGGCGCAGGCCUGAUGCAGCCAUGCCGCGUGUGUGAAGAAGGCCUUCGGGUUGUAAAGUACUUUCAGCGGGGAGGCGUUACCCGCAGAAGAAGCACCGGCUAACUCCGUGCCAGCAGCCGCGGUAAUAC
rnacentral:rRNA from 1 species